UGGGGAAUAUUGGACAAUGGGCGAAAGCCUGAUCCAGCCAUGCCGCGUGUGUGAAGAAGGUCUUCGGAUUGUAAAGCACUUUAAGUUGGGAGGAAGGGUUGUAGAUUAAUACUCUGCAAUUUUGACGUUACCGACAGAAUAAGCACCGGCUAACUCUGUGCCAGCAGCCGCGGUAAUACAGAGGGUGCAAGCGUUAAUCGGAAUUACUGGGCGUAAAGCGCGCGUAGGUGGUUAGUUAAGUUGGAUGUGAAAUCCCCGGGCUCAACCUGGGAACUGCAUUCAAAACUGACUGACUAGAGUAUGGUAGAGGUUGGUGGAAUUUCCUGUGUAGCGGUGAAAUGCGUAGAUAUAGGAAGGAACACCAGUGGCGAAGGCGACCACCUGGACUGAUACUGACACUGAGGUGCGAAAGCGUGGGGAGCAAACA
rnacentral:rRNA from 1 species